rnacentral:rRNA from 1 species
UCUUUACUUUAUCUAUGUGUAUCUAGGCCAGAUAUUAUGCUUAGUGUUUGCAUGUGUGGUCGAUUCCAAGCGGCACCAAAGGAAUCGCAUCACUUAGCUGUGAAGCGAAUUCUUCGAUAUUUGACUUACACCCCAACUCUAGGAUUAUGGUAUCCAAAGGGCUCAAAGUUUGAUCUAGUUGGAUUCUUGGAUGCUGAUUAUGCUGGUGACAAGGUUGAUCGCAAGUCUACAUCAGGCACAUGUCAUUUUCUGGGACGAUCACUUGUAUGUUGGUCUUCAAAGAAGCAGAACUGUGUAUCU